UUCAAUAAGUUUCAGGACCAGUCUUAAUUAUGAACAGAACCCAAGAGUUCAAUACAUUUGAAUUCAGGAAAAAUAAAACACAUCACAGUGCAGGAUGGGAGCAAAAGGCAGUGAGCUGGUCUUACUGCACUGGGCAGGGGAGACCUUUGGGUUCCAGGAGCCUUCUUCCCAGCUUACAGUGGCAGCAAGGGUGCAGCUAUGGCUGAUACAUUGAUAUGUACAGUUCACAAGUAGGACCUGGAUUUCCUGUGUGAGUCAAAAUGUAAAGCUUAUAGUAUAAACUAUGUAUGGUUCUGAAUAAUCUGUCUCUAAAUAAAGGACUAUUGCUAUAAAACAUAGUAAAUAAGUGUUGGAAAAAAAAUUAGAGGUUUAAGAAUGAACUGUAUCUUAACUUACUAUGGUUCAGCAAGUGCUCAGUGUUUGGUUUUUUUUACUUCAAUAACAAAAGCUUCUUAAUUGAGCUUUUGCUUCUUUUGCCUUCCAUUUGAUUGUAUCUCAUUACAUAAAUAGCUUGUUAAGUUGGAGUAGUUAUAUAUAUAGAGAGAGAGACUUAAAGGUAACUAUCCCAGUCUUUCGGCAUUGCCAAGAAAUCAAAUUUUUCCAAACUGAUUGUGUUGAGCCACAAAUUACUUACAUUAAAUGCAGCCAAAACAAGACAGACAUAAUGAAAUUUAUCCCCAGCAACCACAUUGUUGGGUAUUUUUGUGCAUAUAAAGAAGGGAGGAAGUACAUGUUUACUACGGAGAUGAUCAGGGUUAAACCAUGUACUGCCGUUUGAUGCAUACACAUUCACACAUUCACACACACACACACACACACACACACACUGCAGAGGUAUGUAUAUGCAUCACUAAUUAUUCAAGAUUUGUCCCAGAAUACCUCACAAGACCCCGAUUUUAAGCAGUUUAGACAAUUCAGUGCCGGAGAGAAUAAAAAAGCCCUUUGUCUCUGAUCUCUUUUGACUUUGGACUAGUUAAUGAUUUUUUCCUAAGAUCUGUAAGAAAAUCUAGACCACCAGAGAUACUGUAAUUAUAGCUUAUAUCUGAAGUCUUCAGACCUUCUAAGUUAGGAUUUGAUCAGCUGCUUGGCCAGCUCAGCAACUCGCAAUAAAUUGAUUUCUUUGCUACUUCUUCUAUUUGAAAUACAAGAAAACAUACUGAGCAAAUGACAAUACUUUUUAUAAGCAAGAUCCAUUCAGCAUGCAGACCUUUAGAAGCUGGAAAUGUGACUUUGAAGAAAAUUUUAUUAUUAUGAUAUAUGGUUUCUGAGGAGUUUUCUAGACUUGCACAGCAAGAUUACAUUAAUUACAUGAAUUACAUUCACACAUGCUUUCAAAUGCAGUGAACCAUUCAUUCCUGCCAUGUUAGAAGUGUCAGUGAAUUUUUAAAAAUAAAUGUCUUCCCAACACUGUGAACAAACCUUGUCCUAGUCAUGCAUAUUUACAAGCCCAGCAAGAGGAAAAGGUUCCUGGACAUGUGGAAAAAUUUACAAUUAACAAUAAAGCCUCUUUCAUUUACUUGGUAAAGGUAAUGUAAGAAUAAAAACAGAGUAAGAAACUUGGUGAAAUCUUUCUGCUUCUCUUUAAUAUACAUCACCACUUCUGCCUUCAUAAGCUGUAUUAUAUUAGAAGCCAUGCAGAUUUUAAUUAGCAGAGCCUGACUGCAGAGCCUGGCUGGUCAGGAAGACAGAGGGGAACUGGGGAAACAAAAUUUUUUGUUUGUGGCCCUGGUCAUAGAGUAAUCUCCACAGUUUCUGUGCGUCCCUUCCCAGAAGCGACAGCAGUUACUUAAAACAUUAUCACAUACAGUAGGCUGUAAAUCAUGAAAUGGGAACUCGAAAAGAUUCUGAAGAGAGAUUAAGUUUCCCCUGCCCUUCCCUUCUAAAGUGCAAAGAGUCUGUGCAAAAGAGGAGUCUCAUGCAAAAGCUAUUUGGGUUAUUUUCUGAACUUUGUCUUUGAUCUUUAUUGGAAACUCAGUGCAAAAUAUUUUGGCUUGUCAACUUUUGAUCUAAACUGCAAGCAACACAUAAGGAGCACAGUAAGAUUUCCUUUAAUACAAGAUGGUUGCAUUAUUUAGAUGUGUUUGCUCAAAUCUAGAUCAAUGCCUAUGUGUUAGCUCUCAUGCCAUAGUUACACUUUUAUACACAGAGCUUUCAGAGCCUUCCACUGCCUUCAGCAGAGACUCACAGAGGUACCAAGUUAAACUUGUACAGAAUUGUUACACUACGCCUUAGUUACACCUCAGUGUUAACAAAUGUAAUUCUCCGUAAUUUACAAUAUGGUUGCAUAUUUCUGUACAGAAGUACACUGUAAUGAGUACACAAAAGUAAAUUUAAAAAUUCAUCUGUAUUCUUCCUGAGUUUAGUAUGCAUAUUUCAGUCUGAACUGGCAGCCUGGACAAAAAAGUUUUUUGUUUUUUUUUUUUUUUUUUUUUGCCUUGGCAUAAAUAUAACUUUAUUAUUUACUUUCCUGUCUUGGUGAAGCCAAAAGAUUAUUUCAGUUCAACUUCCCCUUGAGGCCAAGCUUUCUUUAACCAGCAACACUGGAUCAGUGAACAGAAUCGCAGAUGUAUCAUUUAUUUGUAUGUUUCCAUGUAACUCUGGGAAAAGCGGCUACGUUGGAAUUAUGUUUGUCAAAAAUUAAGGAAAGAAGAAAGGGAAGAAAAAGAACGGCAACCUUGGCCAGCAGGAAGAGUGUGACCAGCAGGCCAAGGGAGGUAAUCCUCCCCCUAUACUUGGCUCUCCUGAGGCCACAUCUGGAGUGCUGCAUCCAUUUUUGGGCUACUCAGUACAUGAAAGAAAAUAAAAUAAUGGAGAGGCUUCAUCAAAGAUCAGAAAGAUGAUUUAGGAUCUGGAGCAUCCCACUUAUGAGGAGAGACUGUGGGAGCUGGGUGUGUUCAGUCUGGAGAAGAAAAGACUAAGAGGGGAUUUUAUUAAUGAAUAAACAUAUCUCAGAGGUGGAUGCCCUUUGGUGUCAGGCUCUUUUCAGUGGUACUGAGAGCCAGGACAAGGAGCAGUGUUCAUAAGCUAAAACACAAGCAGUUCCACCUCAAUGUGAGCAGGAGCUUCUUUCAGUUGACAGUGGCAGUUCACUGGAACACCUACCCAGGGCAGUCACGGAGUCUCGCUCUCUGGAGAUAUUUAAAACCCACGUGGACAUGUUCCUGUGUAACCUCAUCUGGAGGGUUGGACUGGAAUCAACAGAGUUCCCUUCCAGCCCUAAUGAUUCUGUGAAUCUCUGCUGUAGAUGUCAGCUCAACUUUUAAAGAUAUUUUUCUUUAAUCUACUGAUGUUCUUUACUCCAAAGUGGUUUGAAAAGUCAGGCACUUCCAACUGAACACCUUUUGCUUUCCAAUUCAAUGGUCACAAAGAAGACCAUAGUUAGGAUUUUGCUACCUCCACAGCUGUGUCAAUACAAUUGUUCAAGUUGCUGUAAGCUGAAGGGACAUGAUACAAAAAAAUUUCUUUAUCUUUUGACAUUGUUUUAACCUGCUUCAUUUCACUAAUGUAAGUGUAUUAUAUGAUCCCAAAUAAGGAGAGACUGUGUAACAGAGUUAGUUGUGGGGGAGGGUGGGAGAAGAAAAAGGCAAAAAUGACUGCUUGGGGCAGCUAAUCUUUAAACCAUAUGUAUAUAGCGGACUGUCUCCCACUAUAUACACUGCCCCAUACUGGGGCAGUAUGUGGAAGAACACCUUUGGACAGCUGCAUUAAUACCAUUAAAGCAGUUUGAAAAACUCCUUCCUAAGUCAGAAUAGUGUUGCUCUCUAAUAUACAACGCAUGCAAAUAUGUGGACCACAGACCAAUAGAAAGCCAACAUUAGCAGGGUUUUUCACUGAAACUUUGCUUCCUGCCUUCUUUUCCUCUCGCUCACAUGGCUUUUGCCUCCUAGUUUUUACUGAACAGGUUAUAUUUCUGUAAAAAGCAGCCUAUGCAGCAGUGAGGGAAGAUGCUGGAAAAUUCUUUUAACUUUAGCACAUUAGUGUGUGAUCCCUGUAUUCAUGGUUAAUGCUUAGUUUUGUACCAUACAGAGCUUAGUGCAAAUACCAGAGAUUAAUGUGGCUUUGUGUUAACUCCCUACAUCUGCGACUAAUAAGUCUUGUGCCAGCUAAUGCUUCCUUGUUUACUUCUAUCAGUGAUUAAUAUGUACUAGCUGAUAUCUUGGUUUUGAGAACAAGGAUUGUGUGUCAGAGCUAAGAAUGAUAAGAGAAGUACAUCAUGACCUGACAGUCUCAAGGAGAAAAGUUUCAUCACAAAAUCCGCAACCGUAUCCAAACAACUGAAUUGAAAUAAUUACUAUAUUUACAUGUAUUCAGGAAAUUUGAUGAAUGUAUAUCAGUUUUGGGAAUAGAAUCUGGUCUGUUAGGUUACUGAGCAUGCAUGUUUUAAGGACAAUUCCCCAUGCACCCAGUUACUAAUAAAGUAAUGUUGUUUUUCUUAACUAACAAGUAUGUUGGAGAGUUUAUUUCCCAGUUUUCGAUGACAUGGGGACAGACUUGGCACAUGAGAAGAAAUAACAUAUUUAUUAAUAAUCUUUGUACAUACUUUUACUGAAAGUUUCAAACUACCUGGUUUUGUGCUGCUUCUGGGGUAACAUUCUGAGUACAUGAACCUCACUGGGGGCAAGGCAAAGAGUCAGCAGUCCUGCUUCACAAUGCUGGGCCACUCCCCAGUGUCAGAGUUCUGGGGUGAAGUGACAUCUUGCCAUGGCAGUGAUCCACUUACAGCAUUACUUUGGAAAUUACCUGAUUUUCAGAAUAAACUUGAUAUUCCUGAAUGCUGGCAGGAGCUUCUGCUCGCAAUUGCUGCAGCACACUAUGAGAACUAACAUUUUUGGUAGGGUAAGUCUGUGUUAUCUUUGUGUCUGCAGACAGAGCUAGACUUCCUCAAAAACGUGCUGCUGCAUUUCCAUCACUUUCUCAAUUGAAGGCAGUUUUAGUAUUUAUGACAGAAGUUUGGUCAUAAGCAAAUUAACAGCAUUUCCUUGUGUCUACAUGCAGUGUCACGCUUAUGGAAACAAUCUGGCUUUCCAGAUGCUGUUUGGGGAAUACUGACAUGCAGGAUUCCCUGGAAGAUCUUCAUCUCAGUGCUGGGGCUCUUUUAAAUUCUUGCUAUUCAGUAUUUAUAAUAUUAUAAACAUUUCUUAUUAUUAAUCUAUUUAUACUUGCCUGAACAGGGAGCACAGAAAUCUGUUUCUACUAUUUAUAUUUUUCUAUACUAGAGGCAGGCAGGAUUGACAAACUCAAGAAAGAAGGCAAAGGACACUGGCAGUGCCUUGCCUGGACUAUGCCUUGUGAGGGGCACACUUCUGUCACGAAGGAAACCCCAGUGCAUUCCAAGGCAUCACAAUCAAGUAUGUGUUAGGAUCCUGGUUUUCUGCUGGAGUAUAUGUACUGUUAUAAAUCACAGUCCUUCCUCAGGACAGGUGAAGCUGAUGCAAAGCAGUAGCUGUCAAAAAAAAAAAAAAAAAAAAAUCUUUCCUGCAAAAAGCCCACAGUCUCUCCUUUUUGUGGCUUGAGGAGAGCUCAAAUCCCAAGCAAUUUUUAUUUCGAUACAAAGCUCAUACUCAGGCUGUCAUGGUCGACCAAGGGAUUCACCUGCACUGGCCCCCCUUCUAUGCCUGUCCCUGUGCUGAUCCCCAGUGCCCACUGCCGUGUCACGGGCUCCUCUCUGCCCUUUUGCUGCCGAGCUCACCCGCACGGGGGGCUCAGGUGAGGCGGCGUUUGAAUGGCGCUUUUUGCCCUGCAAGCUGUGUGGGUUCUGCUCUCAACAGCACUCCUGUGUUCUGUCUGCCUGGGUUCAGCAGCAGGAGCUCAGGGGGAAUUGAAAGCAGUGCCGCAGCAGAAAACAGACAGACCAAAUGGCGGCACCAGGCUUUUGCUAAACCUUCCACAGGGAAACCCUCUGGAAGGCAUCGAGUUCACUAUGGCAUGAAGAGCUGCCAAGAAUGCAGGCCCAGCCCCGUGAAACAGGGGCUGAGGGGGCUCACAGAGCGUGAGCUAACAGCACCACUGCCACACACACCCCACAGCUCUACCUCACUGAGGGCCACGACUGCUCACCAGCCGUUUAAUUUUAAGGAGUUAAACUUAAUGAGCUAAAUUGCAGGUGAUGUUAGUGUAGCUGUGAUGGCUGAGUUUGCGGUAACCAAAGCCUCCUCGUCUGAGACAAGGGACAUGGUGGGGCGGGGGGGGGGGGAACAUGGUGGCCAUCUCGGUAAGGCAAGCUAGACACUGACAGGCAAACAGACUCGCCGGCUGGGAAGUUGUUAGAAGCUGUGUAUGCAAGGAAAUCAGAAGAAAUUGGGGUGAGAGGGAGGAUGGAGGAGCAGAGCAGGGCUGGGAGCUGCACACGAGCAGUUUAUGUGGGGAGAGGACCUCUGGCAGCUGGGGAGGGUUCGUCCUGGCGAAGUUAAGCUCCCUCAGUCCCCCUCCUCCGUGCCCCUCAGGAAUAGCUGUGCCUGUGCCCUGCCUUCCCGCACCAUCCGCUCACCGAGCCCCGGCUCUGUGCCUCCCUGCCCGGGCUCAGACUGUCCCGGAGGAACGCGGGGCUGGAUGGAGCCCGUGCAGGCCUGAGAGCGCGGAGGCGGCGAUCGCAGAGCUGCGCCGGGGAGGGGAGAAGGGAGCGAGGCCGAUCUGCGGGAAGUGCACACUAGGACGUCAGAGGGGAAGGGAAACUUUCCCAGGGAAGAAGUUGCCUCAGCUUCCACCCUCUAUACCCUCAUGUGAACGGCUACGCAGGGGCUUAUCAGCUGGUCUGGCUUCCCCUUCAGCACCCCCCCAGCUGCCGAUACCAGGAGGAAGUGGGAAAGCAACAGGGACAACUUUAGCAAAACACUCCUGACUUCCCUUCCCCUUCAACAUGUCCCUCCCAGGAGUUGUGUAAACUCUGUGGGAGGGAGGGAGACAGGGAGACCCCACACUUUCAUACACAAACUUAAUAACCUCCUUUCUUGCCCUUUCCUAUAUUAAACACACAUCAGCUUUUCAAGUCUCACCUGCUAUUAAUGCAAAGGAGCAGAACAGAAACUCCUAUUUCCUAAAAAUCAUCCAAGCUGCAGGCAAGGUGCUGUUCUGAGUUGUCUGGCUUUCUGCACCACCUUAAUGGGGUGCAGAAAGCCCAAGAAGACUUGGAGCUGACAUCUGUGCUUCUUCAGGUAUCACCUAGCUCAGGUAUCUUAGGCUUUCUUUGGGAAGUAGGUAAUAAAGGGCCUUAAAUGAUAUCCUUUAAGGUAUCCUCCUUAAACCUCUGAGUGAGAGGUUUCAGAUGAGAGCAAUUAAUCUCUAUUAGUAUCUGAUGAUUUCUUAACAACAGCUCUUCAGUCUUGUCAUUUUAAAAAGUGGAAGAUCAGACCUACAUCUGUUGGCUAUUCCCCUAUUCAUAUUAGGGGGGUAAUGCUGCUUUUGCUUUUAUAAGAUAUUUGCUUAAAAAACAAACAAAAUCUCCUGGAUUUUCAUGGUCAAUCUCAAUUAGUCAAACAAACCCUAGCAAAGUCUAGAAAAAAGUGAGUCCUAAUGAAUGCAGAUUUACAUCUUUCUGUACUUUAUGUGCUCUCAAGAAGUUACCUGUCACAAGUGAGGCUAAACUUGAAGACAUCUGAAACAGAAAGUUAUAGCUCUAGGUAAAUUCACAGUUGCCAGGAUCAUUUCACCACUCUUCUUCUGUAUGCUUUCACAGUACUUCUGUGAUAAUUAGUCUUAUCUCUUAGAACUACAUCUAAAACUUGUAGAGUCUUCUUGGCUGGGCUGAAAUUAAAAAAUUUUAGUUACCAUGUAUGCGAUAUUGAAAUUAUUUUAUUAUUCUAAAGCAAGAGGGUGGAAAGGGAAAGCUUGAAAAAAGAAGACAAUGAUGUGGCCUAAAAAAAACCAAGAAAGAGAAUGCUUCCACAUCAUAAACAUUUCAAAACACAAAGUAACUUCAGAAAUAGUUUUAAUUGAAGACAAAAAAGUUUAAAAAUGCAAACAGUUUAACCCAAACAUCUUUAAAAAUAAUGUUUCUGGAAAAAUUUCCUAAGUCCUUCUGCUUAGUAUUUGCUUAAUGUCUGACAUCCUUUCUAUUUCCCUAUCCUUGAUGCUUUUAAAAAACUUUGGCUAUCUCAGAUGCCUUAUCUUUAGCAGGUGGUGGCAGGUUGAUUACAAAGCCGGUAAUCUGAUUUAAAAAGCCAGCUGAUUUCUGGCUUUAAAGUAACUGGUUAGCCUCUGAUAUAAAUCCAUAAACAAAAGAAAGGAAAAGUUAGUUUAAAUGAGAAUGCAUUCACCUGUGCCACUGGCAAUCACAGCAGAAAACCAGGAUACAUUUCCAUCUGCUAAGAGUCCUUUUGGUAAAGUCAGCUUAGACAGAGAGAGUACACAAACCCCAUAUUCUGAAGCCUUGCUGGUAUACUAAGAGUUUCUUUCAAAAAGAACAUUUCUUCUUUCCUGUCCUACUCUUCUGUCAUUUUCCAAGACUUUCCUCUCUGUGAAAUGAGAGUAGGUGGGCUGUGUGUCCCCGUCUCCACCACAGACCUGCCCUGCGGGUCAGAUGGUCCCACCUUUCGGCCAGGCACAGAAGGGACCCCUACGUGCCCUGCUCUCUCGGUACUAACAUCACGUGCCCGUUCUCAACGUGGCGCCUUUCCCGGUUGCUGGCACAACGGUGACCUCUAAUGGAGGAACCUCUCCUCUGACAAAUCUUAGCCAGCAUUUAGGUGGGGAGAGAGCAAGGGUGGAAAAUCUGCUGACCCUCUAAAUUGUAUCAGCAUUUGAUUUCCAUCACUGUUAAAAGAAAAAUAAAAGGAAAAAAAACCAAAGAAGCAAACCCUCAGAACCCCAACAUCAACUCAACCAAACCAACGAGAAAAGGAAACUAAUCGGGAUUUUGGAUUUUUUUGUUGUUGUUGUUUUUCUAGGUUUUUUUUUUUUUUUUGGUGGAUUUUUUUUUUGGUGUUGUUUCCACUGCCUUUUUUGCCUCUCACUCUGUUUGUGUACAUCUCUGAGAUGUAUGAGUAUGACACACUUCCACUAGACAUUUGAAAGCAGCAAUAAAGUCUGUGCUUUGCCUAUUUCUCUUAGCUUCUAGUCUGUCAUGUAUCCUAGCUCCCUGAUUACCUACAGGUGCUGCUGUUUUAUUUGCUCUGUGCCUGCCUGCUGCCUUGCCUAAGAGGCAGAGUGAUGCCUUGUGAAGGCUGACCUAGAAUAGAGACAAGACACAACCAAAUAAUAAAGUAGGUAUUUAUUAGAAGGCCUCAAUGGAUACACCUUGGGCAGUACAAGAGCCCAGCCUGGGCUACACCCAAGGUUAACCCAAAAAUGUCAAAAAAUGCAUGACCAGUCACGGGGUCUGACACUUUUAUAAGUUCAGGCUCAUUUGCAUAUUGGAGUUAAUUAUAGCUUUAGCUUAUGAAAUCACAUCCUUCUUGUUUUUCUGCUAAGAGAUGGAGAAGAUCAAUGGUUGUACAUAAAUUGAUGUUCUGAGAGCCUUUUUAGAAAAUAAGUGAGAGCCUGGAGACAUGAUUUCUGAAAGAUUUUCUUCUAAGACAUAAGAACACAGGUCUCCCUAUGACUCACAUUCAGAAUCAAAAUGCAGAUGCCUUCAGGGGUUUAGAGAAGAAUCGUGGUAGUAUAGAGGUUGUGGCACUUCUCUAUAACUUAGCUAAACAAGUGCCUAAUGGGAAGAAAAGCUAUUAGAGAUGUGUUAGCAGAAGUGAAAGGAAGCCUCAGCUGUAGCUGCAAAUACAAGAUGCAGAAGAUCCUCUGAUCCUCAUUUCAUUCUAUGAAAAUGUAAAUUCCCUAAAAUUAUUAAACAAUUUUGUUUAUAAAUAUGGAUUGAAUUUGGCAAAUUUCUUACAUGUCCCAUUUUUAAAGGUGUUAUAAAUAAUUUUCAUUACUUUUCAAUAUCUUCCAGUGAGGAUAUUGCAAGUUAGAGAGACCAUUGUUCACAAUUUCAGUGCUGGAACAUAUGUGUGGCUUUGUUCUUAUACAUUUCUGUGUAAUUUUUCCAUUCUUAAUUUUCUGUGUACUUCACCUUUUACAUAGAGGGUUGUGCCUGAGGGUGGGUGCUCUUUUUGUUAAUUUCAUAUUCUUCCUGCAAAGACUCCUGAACUCUGCUGAAGAACUAUUUUUAUUCUUUUUUUCCUUAACUAUGAAAAAAUUAAGAAUUGUUUGUAAGAAAAAAUAUCUAAAAAGAUGACUAUCUAAAAAGAUGACUUUCUGUUGAAAUGAACUCACAAAUCUCAGCAGGUUCUUAAUCCUAGAAUGCUGAUUCAGGUGUAGAUAAUUUAGUGAUAAACACUAAAACUGUUCCUGUCACAGAAAGAGUAAAAGUGCACCUUUAAAUAUUCUUGUGUUAUCUGCAUUAUGCUAUCCGGAGAUGUUAAAAAAGUCACAUGCUAUGUUCUGUAUCAGCUUCAUAUUUGUUUAUGCAUAUGAUUUAUCUUUGCCUAAUUUACAUACCGAACACAUUUUCCUAUAUUAGCUUUCCCUCCUCCUCCCUCCCCCCUUUCCCCACAAAUAUGAAAAACUUUAACAAAUAAAGAUUAUAUGAAGGGUAUUGUUCUGCAUUCUAAGCGUGUCUGCAAAUGUGUUUUUUGUCCAAGUUGCAAAGAACAGGGACGGGGAAGGUUUCAAUUCAUUCAGCAUCCCUUCAAUAGGCUGGAAUAUUACCUGAUUUUAGUGUAAAUGGUCUGGUGGAUGUAGCAGUAGGCCUGGCUUGCCAAUGGUUUUCCAUAGCAAUAUGGUGAGGCUCUGAAGCGGGACAGAGAAAAGCGGGCAGGACGCUAGAGAAAAUAAUAACUAGGGCGCGGGUGUUUGUGAGGCUCUGAGUGCAGCGCGUCCCCGGUGCCAGCAGAGGGCAAUAUGCACGCACCGAGCGGAGCUGUCCUGGGGCGCUGCUGGCAAUCCACCUGCUGCUUGUCUGGCUUUACCGUUACUGUGUUUUUCUUACUGCCUUAAACAGUGUGAAAAAAAUAUAUUUUUGGAUUUAAUUGGGGCAGAUGUUAGUUUACAGAAUUUUCGAAAGUAUCGUAAAUAGCAGGGGAAAAAAAAAUUAUCUCUCAGUGUUUGUCUACUUCUUAUGGUCCAGUUCAGCUUGACGGACAGAAACCCAUUCAUGUUUAAUGAAAACAGAAAUACCCUGAGCAAUUUAUUGUUAUUACCCCUGAGAGCUGUAUUUUGCACAAAUCUGUUUUCAAAAGUCUGCUGAGCUCCCAGUUAUGCAAGAUCUGCUGGUCUUCUGUGGCUGUCAGAAGUCCAGUGAUCUCAGUGACUUUUGCAAGCAGGUAGAAAUCCCUUCACACAAGGUCCUUAAGAGGUGGUUCCUUCUGAAUGUGGUUAGACAUUCAGCAUUUUAUAACUAACAUAUAAUUGUAGAUAAUAUACUGUAUUUCUGUACAAAAUCUGUCGCAUUUAUUUUUUUUUUAAACAAGGAGUAAAUCCAAAUAGAUCAAUCAAGUUCCUUGGCUGGCCUUAUUUCUACCAGAAGAUUUAUUACUGAAUUCUCAUAUCUUGAAAGUUUUUUCCUUCUUAGAGUAUAUCUGAGAAUUACCAGUAUCGCUGCAAAAAGACAGACAUAUUUAGAGGUAUUUCUCUAGGUCAGGAAUCAGUGCAGCCUCUCUUGGCUUGAAAUCAAAGGAAAAUGCAACUUUUUUCCUUUGGGUUAAUAAGCUCUCCUGUCUGAAGCUAUUAUUAUUGUAGUUCUGGUAUUUUUUCAUCUCAUAUUAUAUCCAAAUGUUUUGGUCUAAACUUUCCUCUGUGGUGAUGGUCAGAAAUGAAAUAGUGAAUUCUAUAUUUUGGUCUUCUUUUGGAUUUCAGGCUUCUGCAGGCUUAACUUUCUUGUCAUUUUUUGGUUAGUGUUACAUUGCCACUUGACUGCAGAAUUCCUCUGGAUACACAAACUAAUUUUUCAAUUUAGCCUUGAAAGAAGUUAUUUUCCUUAAUUUUGAAUGCCAGAAACAGUAAAUCAAAUAGAAACCAGUUGAGAUGAUUAAGGACCUAAAAAAAAUAAAAAAGUUUCCUCAUGCCCUCAAAAGAAUAAAUACAGAUUCAAGGAUCUGAAAACUUUAGAAAUAAAUUUAAAGUUUUACAGUCCUAUCCACAGCAGUUUUACUGCAAGUGCAUCCAUGAAAUAAAAAGUAAAUUAAUACUAUACUGUAACAUUAGUACUUACCAUAGUUUCAGUUUUUCUGAGUCCACGGUUCUGCUGAGGAGAAUGCAUGGUACUAGAGGGAGUAAAAGAUGUUCUUCCUCCUUUCCCGUGAAUGUUUCUUUAGAGAGUGCAUGUGGUUUUAUCCAGCCUUCAUGUGAAAAAAUAUCAGCAAUAGUCUUGUUUUGCACAGUAUCAGAGACUGAUACUGAUAGCAGAAUUGUAAACAGUAUUUGUUUGAGUUAUGUUGUACUGCUGUGAAAGAUUUUAUUCAUUCAUUUAAUUACUUCCAAGAUUUUCAUGAAAACCAGGUCUAUGAUAAAAUUAUAUAGUUAUUCUUUUCAGUAAACUUUGACUGAAUUUAAAAGGCAAAUGUAUUUUGGUUUUGUUUUUCAUACUCAGGGUUCCUGAAUUUACGUAUAUUUAGGCUUCACUGUAAAUGCCUGUUUCCUCCUGACCCAGACUUUCAUGGAUGUUCAAUAUCUGAAGGAAUUUUCUAUCUCUAAUAAGCUGAACUAUAUCAAUUAGCCUUUAAUUAUUGACCUCUUCAGAGAUGAUACUAUCAGAAAAAUAGGAUUCUCCUGGUCUGACAGGGCAUUAAAGUUCUAUAAUGCUGCAGACUUCCUGUGCACAAAAAUUCAAGGAAGAAGGGCAUAUAGCCAUAAAUUUCAGUGUACUAAAUCUAGGAAAAAAUCAAAAACUAAAACAAAGAGCUUAAUGAAAAUGGGUGAAAGAAGGAAGGAGGGGAGUGAAGUCCUGACUAGUACAGGAAAGAGAGUAGUGUUAUAUGUUGGUGAUGCCUAACUUCUAAAUAAAAGUCAGUUGAGUUUUCAGUAAGCAAUCUUCUCAGUAUGAAUUAAUGGAGAUAAAUAAAUGUGAUAGUAAAAUAACAGAAAGUACUGUAUCUGUGUCAGAAGCAAGGUUUAAACUGCAUUCUGAGGGGAAAUCAGGAUUUCCCUAAAAUCCCAGUGCUACAGCACUGAAAAGAUUACUGUAUUGCUGUAAUUCCCAAACCAUUUGCUUUCUAUUAAACUUUCAAUGGAAUAUAUCAAUGCAAUCUAUUUUCAUAGCUAAUAGCAAAUGCAACUACAGAUACUUAAAAGGGCAAUUAGCAAAGACACUACCUAUUUUCCUAAAACCAGGAAAUCACCAGGGCAGCUACAUACUUAUUUUCUUGAGCUUUGAAAAAACUAUUUGAAUGAGAAAACAUCAGAUACAUGUAGCUACAUCUAAUGUAGAUUUCACUAAUGGAGGAUUAUGUUUGAAGAAAUUAAUACCUGUUUUGCAAAGUUUAGCUGGCAUUUAAGGCAAAGGUAAUACAUUUUACUAUAUUUGUCAAGAUUUCAGCAGAGUAUUUCAGGUGAUCCUUUGCUGAAUUUUAAGUGACAGGUAUUUGGAGAAGAUGUGACCUAUCAGAAAGAGCGUAAGAUAAACUAGGAGAAAGGGAUUUAGUGAGUUUCACUGAGAUUACUCACAGUGUUCUGCAGGCAUCAGUUAUGGGACUGAUCCUGUCUGAUCCAUUACUUGGGUCUGGUUCAAGAGAAGGUUCUUGAAUCAGGAAUCUUGUUCAAGAGCUGGGCCUAUACUGAUGAAGGUGUUCUAAACUAAGUGGUUCUCAUCCUGAGGGGAAUCAAGUGGUUAUACAGGAAAGAGAAGAAGAGAUUGUGUAUUGUAUCAACCAAAUUUUAAUUACAAAGUAAUAUACUUAAGGCUAGAAAAAGCUUUUUUUUUUUUUUUUUUGCUUUGUGCCAGGGACACAAUGAGUCACUAAAAGGACAUGCACAUGUCAAAAGUACCUGCAGUUUGAGUGCAGAUUAAGCAAAUGAUUUUUGGGAGAGGCAGGAAAAGAAUUUUUGCAGAGGACUGAUGAGAGCUUGUUUAGAGUCUUGUGUGCCGCUCUGGUCAAUUAUGUUGAGUGGCCAAGUGGAGACUUACAGUGUGAGUAGGAGUUCCUGGCUUCUGAAAAGACCCUGAAACAGCUUACCUUGGGUAACUUAAGAAAGUGGAGAUGAAAAGUUAUGACAUGGUCUGUAAGUAUCAAGGAAGAAGAAGUAUUUAUACCAAAAAAUA